ensembl:lncRNA
UAAUUAGCCAAUACAGAGACACACUGCUGCAACGAAUAUCAAGAUUGAACUUUUUAAUGCACAAUCCAUCACAAAUAAAUCUUGUCUCAUACAUGAUCAUAUUCUAGAAAAGUGUUUAGAUAUGAUGUGCCUUACAGAAACCUGGCAUCAACCAGAUGUUUUUUCUGUUUUAAAUGAGACCUGUCCCCCUGGUUACUGCUAUUUACAGAAAGCCCGCAGUACAGGGUGUGGUGGUGGUCUGGCUGUCAUCCACCGAAGUGAUCUGAUCUUGUCCCCUGUAACCCUGCCUGAGCUGUCUUCGUUUGAAUGCCUUGCAUUUAAAUGUAAGCACCCUCUUUCCACUAUGAUAUUUCUCAUUUAUCGGCCACCCAAACCAAAUCCAUCAUUCAUCCCAGAGAUGUCCAAUCUUCUUUCAACAUUCUGUACAAUGUCUGCUAAUAUCAUUAUACUUGGAGAUAUGAAUAUUCAUGUCAACUCUUCAACCUGUCGUUUUGCAGCAGAAUUUCUCCAAUUACUCGACUGUUUUAAUCUGACACAACUUGUCGAUUCCCCAACUCAUACCAGGGGCCAUACUCUUGACCUAGUUAUUACAAACUCUGUUUAUCUCAGCAAUCUUCUGGUGUAUGAUCUGGGAGUUUCUGAUCAUAAGGCCAUCUCCAUGAAGAUGUCUUCACUGUCCAGCUUCAUCAAGCCCAAACGCCAAAUCUGUUUCAGAAAUCUGAAAAACAUCAACCAAGAAACUAUGGCAUCUGAUCUCCAGCAUCUCCUUUCUGUAAACUGUCUACCACCCAUGGACUCAGUGGACUAUUAUAAUAACACCCUCAGAAGCAUUCUGGAUCUUCAUGCCCCGGUCAAAACCAGAACAGUCACUUUCACCCGAUCAGCACCCUGGUAUACCGGUGAUCUACGAAAAAUGAAGGCAGUUGGGCGUGCCCUUGAGAGGAGAUCCAAAAGCACAGGUCUCACUGUGCACAAGCUCGCUUUUCGGGAACAUCAAAAGGACUACUCAAAGUCACUUAUGGAGGCACGGUAAAAUUUCUAUUCAAAUGUCAUCAGAAAUAGUCCCGGAAACUCCAAACAGCUGUUCUCCACCAUAAAUCAUCUACUCAAACCUCAAACCCCCUCACUUACAGAAACUACAGAAGAGCACUGUAUUAAUUUCCUGGACUUUUUCAAAACAAAAAUAGACUCAAUUUACUCUACCUUUUCUGAAUCUUCACCACUAUCCACCCUGACUAUCCACAUACAGCCUGUAAUUUUGGAGCCCCUA